rnacentral:rRNA from 1 species
CCUACGGGAGGCUGCAGUGGGGAAUAUUGGACAAUGGGGGGAACCCUGAUCCAGCGACGCCGCGUGAGUGAAGCAGUAUUUCGGUAUGUAAAGCUCUAUCAGCAGGGAAGAAAGAAAUGACGGUACCUGACGAAGACGCCCCUGCUAACGAGUUGCCAGCAGCCGCGGUAAGACGUAGGGGGCAAGCUUUAUCCGUAUUUACUGGGUGUAAAGGGGGCGUAGACGGCGAUGCAAGUCUGAAGUGAAAGGCGGGGGCCCAACCCCCGGACUGCGUUGGAAACUGCAUGGCUGGAGUGCAGGAGAGGUAAGUGGAAUUCCUAGUGUAGCGGUGAAAUGCGUAGAUAUUAGGAGGAACACCAGUGGCGAAGGCGGCUUACUGGACUGUAACUGACGUUGAGGCUCGAAAGCGUGGGGAGCAAACAGGAUUAGAUACCCGAGUAGUC